rnacentral:rRNA from 1 species
AUUGAACGCUGGCGGCAUGCCUUACACAUGCAAGUCGAACGGUAACGGGCCUUCGGGUGCCGACGAGUGGCGAACGGGUGAGUAAUGUAUCGGAACGUACCUUUCAGUGGGGGAUAACGUAGCGAAAGUUACGCUAAUACCGCAUAUUCUGUGAGCAGGAAAGCAGGGGAUCGCAAGACCUUGCGCUGAUUGAGCGGCCGAUAUCGGAUUAGCUAGUUGGUGAGGUAAAGGCUGACCAAGGCGACGAUCUGUAGCGGGUCUGAGAGGAUGGUUCGCCACACUGGAACUGGGCCACGGUCCAGACUCCUACGGGAGGCAGCAGUGGGGAAUUUUGGACAAUGGGGGCAACCCUGAUUCAGCCAUGCCGCGUGAGUGAAGAAGGCCUUCGGGUUGUAAAGCUCUUUCGGCCGGGAAGAAAUCGUAUGGGUUAAUACCCUGUGCGGAUGACGGUACCGGCAUAAGAAGCACCGGCUAACUACGUGCCAGCCUCCGCCGUAAGAC